rnacentral:rRNA from 1 species
UACAGAGGUCCCAAGCGUUGUUCGGAUUCACCGGGCGUAAAGGGUGCGUAGGUGGCCAGGUGAGUUUGGUGUGAAAGCUCGGAGCUUAACUCCGAAAAGUCAUUGAAUACUAUCUGGCUGGAGGGUCGGAGGGGAGACUGGAAUUCUCGGUGUAGCAGUGAAAUGCGUAGAUAUCGAGAGGAACACCAGUGGCGAAGGCGAGUCUCUGGACGACUCCUGACACUGAGGCACGAAAGCUAGGGGAGCAAACAGG